rnacentral:rRNA from 1 species
AUACAGAGGUCCCAAGCGUUGUUCGGAUUUACUGGGCGUAAAGAGUGCGUAGGUGGCGAGGAAAGUCUGAUGUGAAAUCUCCGGGCUCAACCCGGAAACUGCAUUGGAAACUGCCGGACUUGAGGGACGUAGAGGUGAGCGGAAUUCCCGGUGUAGUGGUGAAAUGCGUAGAUAUCGGGAGGAACACCAGUGGCGAAAGCGGCUCACUAGGCGUUACCUGACGCUGAGGUACGAAAGCGUGGGGAGCGAACCGGAUUAGAAACCCCAGUAGUCC